UAUGUUUCUUGAACUCAUUUCCAGGUUCGUUCAGCAUAGCCUUGAAACCACCAUUUAAAAACCUGUCCCCUCCCCCAUCUGCAUUUCUCUCUCUGCCCCUUUUUGCCCCUCUGUCCUUCUCUCACGCUCUCUCUCUCUCUCUCUCUCUCUCUCUCUCUCUCUCUCUCUCUGUCCCCUCUCUCUCUCCUGCAAGCUGUGUCUCUUUCCUGUGUGCUGGGGGGCCAACGGAGGGGAAGUACACUGAGGAAGAAAUGCACUCUCUCAUUUCAAGUGCAUGGGCUUAAAGACACAGCUGGCUCCGACAAAGGGGAAUAUGACAAGGGGAAAACAGUCGUGGAAAGGUAGAAUAAUGACCCACUGACAAGGCAGUUGUGUGCGGAGACCGUAUGGGGAUCAUUUCACACAAAAAAGGGGGGAAAUUUAAAAAAAAUAGUAAAACAGGAAAACGGAGAAAAAAUGUCUCCUCCCCUCUCCUCUUUCCACGUACUGCUCCUAGUCCCUCCCACCUUUCUUUCAAUCUCUGUCCCUCCCUCUCUCCUUUCCUUCAUUCCUAACCUACAUGCACACUCACAUGCACACACACACACAUAGAUAUACACAUGAUGACUGAUGCCGUCUCCCUCCUCUUGCAUUCUCCGUUUCUUGCACCACCAAGACUUUUGUGUCCUCUUCGGUACAAGCGUACGGUGGAACCAGUUCCUUGCAGCUCCAGCACAUGCUAUCCCAGCCACAAACCGAGCAGCAGCAGCAGCAGCUCCUCCUGCUUCUCACUGUACUGCUUGUGACUUUGUCCGCUCGCCUUUGCCACCGGUACUUUCCUCACGCCGUUGAUUUCCUUUGUCCACAAGGCACGUUUCCCUUCAAAGUCCAGAGCGUGGAGGAGUGAGGGAAGAAGAGAAAUCGCUGUGUGACGAAGGGGGAGAUGAGGCAACACCGACGCGGCUGGAGUGAAAUAGAGAUGCAAGGCUGCAAGUCGAGAGGGAAAGCACUAACUCAAGAGUGAGGAAGAGGGAGCGGAAAGAAGGAAUCAAGUUGGAAUCGGGGAAAGAAACGCGGGAAAAGUCGACCUCCGCUUCACAUCUGAGGACCACCGGGCAAACUUUGGAGAGGGACUCAUCUCAAGAUGGGCCGAUGUCGUAGAUGCCCUCCCUGUCCCGCUCUUCAUCUUCUUCUCCACAACCAUUGAAAACGGUUGUAAUCCUAACUGAAUCUUGUGGAUCUCGUAUCUAGAAAAUUAUCAAGAAAUAAAGAUAUUAAACCUUUCUAAUAUUUAUAUAUUAUGUUUUAAGGUAAAGAUUUGGCUGUGUAUGUAUAAAGAGUUUUGGUUAGGAUACUUUUAAGCCUGUUAUUCUGCUACUAUUAUCUUUUUCACAUUUGGGUGAGAUCACUGAGCUCUGAACACCUAUAGACUCAGUAUAAGCUCAAUAAAUCAUGUUCAAAAUCCCCUUGUCAUUUAGCAACAGUUUAAAAUAAAUAGUUCCUCCUAAAUGAAUUGCGUCUCCCCCACAAUGCGCUCAUCUGCUGCAUUGCUGAAAAACGAUGUUCAGCAAAACAAAAGACGAUUGUGGGAGAAAUGCAGACAAAAAGGUCAGGAUUAUGUUUUAAUUGAACUGAUCGGUUUUGCUUCUGAUCUGCAGCAAACCAGGGAGACUGCUCGCUGCUGCAGAAUCCCAACGUCAGAUGAGGUCAUGUCUUUGUCUGGGUGCAGCGGCUCUGCAGUUCCUAAUUUUUAAUACGUUUCAUCGCACCGAUGUUCCUUUUUUGCACAUUCGGUUGCUCUAUAGUUAAACCCUUCCUGGGUAGUUUUAAUUUGACAGUAUGCCCCUCUGUCCCUGAGACCCUUAACCUGUGAGAUCAAAGCAGGUCACAGGUGAGGUCCUCGGGAACAGGGCUGCAUUCAGUUUCAACGUCCUGGAAAUGACAAGAAGUUUGUCAAAUGUGUUCACAUGAUAAACGUCUGUUCGAUAUUUGAACCAUCGAUGCAUGUCAGUAUGCAGCUGUAUGACUCCUCAGACUGAUGCAGCAUGUUUUCCUGUCAUGUCAUGAGGGAGAUGCGUUGGGUUGGACAAGCAGACGAUGAUCCCUCCACCUGGUGCACGAUCCGCUCAGGGGGCCAACCCGAUUGGCUGGCUUUGUGUUAUAGCCCUCACUGGGGGCCAAUAGGAAGACAGCCAAGGGUUGUGACUCCGUCAUAUAUAUCACCUUCAGUUAUUGGUACAUCAUGUGCAUCUGUGAGUAUUUUCAACUUGCUGUUUAUGACCUGUGUGCAUUAAUAAAAAUAUGUUAAGGAAAAA